ACCUGGGACAUGAUGGGGAAAUUCAAAUGAGGGCCAUUAGUCGACGAUAUGGAACGACGGCUGUGUGUCUGCACAUCCAGGACGGCCUGGGAUGCGGGUCAGGUGGAGGAUUUAGCAGCGGUGUCGACACGCUGGGCAGGGACCCGGCCCUCAACAGGGGACUGUGCACACUCCGGAAGCAACCAGCAGCCCCUUCCCCAGCCCUUGACCAGGUGGGACCUGAAGCCCCUGGACAAAGCCAGACACUAAUGACAUUGUAAGGACAGCUUUUCAUCAGUGACAUACAACUGCACCAGGAAAAAGAGAGAAGUGACUCAGCUCCAAGAGGUGACGGGGAAGAAAAGCGAGUGUUUAAAGACUAUAGAGUCUCAGUUGGGGAAGAUGAAAAAGUUCUGUACAUGGAUGACGGUGAUGGUUAUGCUGCAAUGUGCGUGUAGUUAACGCCAUCGAAAUGUAUACUUUGAAAUGGU